rnacentral:rRNA from 1 species
UCCGUACGAGGCGAGCGUUAUCCGGAAUUACUGGGCGUAAAGCGCGCGCAGGUGGUUCUUUAAGUAGGGCGUGAAAUCUCCCGGCCUAACUGGGAGGGGUCGCUCUAGACUGGGGGACUUGAGGCUGGCAGAGGUAGGUGGAAUUCCUGGUGUAGUGGUGAAAUGCGUAGAGAUCAGGAGGAACACCGGUGGCGAAGGCGGCCUACUGGGCCAGCACUGACGCUGAGGCGCGAAAGCUCGGGGAGCGAACGGG